ACUAUCCGCCCGGGAACUACGAGCAACAGCUUAAAACCCAAAGGACUUGGCGGUGCUUUAGACCCACCUAGAGGAGCCUGUUCUAAAACCGAUAACCCCCGUUCAACCUCACCUUUCCUUGUUCCCCCCGCCUAUAUACCGCCGUCGUCAGCUUACCCUAUGAAGGUCCCUUAGUAAGCACAAUUGGUACAACCUAAAACGUCAGGUCGAGGUGUAGCGUAUGGAAAGGGAAGAAAUGGUCUACAUUCCCUACUACAGCGAAUUACGGACAAUAUCACUGAAACGUGUAUCUAGAAGGAGGAUUUAGCAGUAAGCAGAAAAUAGAGCGUUCUGCUG
rnacentral:rRNA from 1 species